GCCCAAGAGAUCGGGAUAACACCUGGAAACAGAUGCUAAUACCGGAUAACAACAGAUGAUGCCUAUCAACUGUUUAAAAGAUGGUUCUGCUAUCACUCUUGGAUGGACCUGCGGUGCAUUAGCUAGUUGGUAGGGUAACGGCCUACCAAGGCGAUGAUGCAUAGCCGAGUUGAGAGACUGAUCGGCCACAUUGGGACUGAGACACGGCCCAAACUCCUACGGGAGGCAGCAGUA
rnacentral:rRNA from 1 species